UUAAUACUUAUACAACACACCUUAUACUGCUGUGAACAAUGCCAGUAAUACCACUCUUCCUGGUAGUCACAUUAACAAUGCAUUGAGCAACACAUCAUAACACAAAGCACAUUCAAUUGGUGAACAAGGAAAUAAAGAGAUGGUUUGAUAUUCUGAGUUGCAUGUGUUUUUUUUCAUAGGUUUUAUAACCCUAUCAUGGAAGGUAAAAGACAAUUAUGAAACUGUGUCAUUAAAUGUAAUGUAAUAGACAACUAGGUGCAAAGAAAUAACUUUUCCCCAUGUGGCAUAGUAGCCAGUAAACAACCAGAGCCAACUAAAAUUCAAAUCAUCAAGGUAAAUAAGCAGACACAAUGAGUUACACACAAUGACAAAUGAUAUAUAUUAACAACAAAACCAUGUUUACCUCCAUCAGAACACACACAGGAAACUCAAACUCAGACAGUCACUCUCAUGCUUCUUCAUCAUCUAAAUGAGCACCAGCACACAUACUUUAUAGAAUCCUGAAUUUUACAUGCCAUGUUAAAGUAAA